UGUUCAUAUCUCCAAGCUUCUGGACAAUCUUGGAGUUGCUCUCAAACCUCUUUUUGUUGCUGGUUCCAACAUCAAGAAUAGCUUCCAGGUAGAGACGUGAAGAAAAGGGAUUUGAAGUCGUAUAAGUAUGUUGUUAGCUCUGUUUGGCAUGUGAAAGUAAUGGAACAGAGCAUAUUCCCAAGCUUUCACCAAAUUGGAUUACUUUUAAACCACUUCAAUCCUGAAAAAUAAUGUGAAUGGUUUCUAUACUUGAAGAAGAAGAAUCUGAGUAGGAAAUGGUAAAAUGUUAAACUGAAAUUGUAUGGAAUUGGAAGUGCUCUAUAAAUCAUGUUGAUGCUCGUUUGCACAAUAGUUUUUUCA